rnacentral:tRNA from 1 species
CGGUGGUCGUCCAAUAUGGUAGGACGUCUCGAUUUCGGUCGAGGAAAUCCCGGUUCGAUUCCGGGCUGCCGAA